GUGGGCCGAGGUUCCUCGACCGAAAGCUGUAGUUAGACUUAAGGAGCGGGAGCAGGUACGGCCGUCCGGUCCUCCUCCCUCUGGCGCACGGCCAGCCCGGCCUCGCCGGAGGGGACACCGCAGCCCCCCGGCAGCGCCCUGAUGGGGUAGGGAGAAAAAGGGAGGCACUGCUAAAGCACGCUUUUCACUUUUUAGCCUUUUGUGCCUUUGGAGAACUCGGGCCAAUAUGCCGCUAGUCUUAGUUUCCCUCACCAAUACACUGAUGGCUUAGCUGAGCAAACUGGUAAACUCAGAAGUAGACACCUUACCAUUACAUCUUACCAGCUGGAUCUGAAAUUGCCCGUAAGGGAUGGGUUGGGUUUGAGGGACUUCUCAAACAGCUCCUGCCACAGAUCUGCUGGGCUUGGCUGGGCCUCACAAAUGGGUCGAAUGGAUUGAGACCAGACUGGUUUAUAGCCAAGAGGAGAGGAGCCUUUUUGUAGAAGGAAGUAACAACAGGACACAUAACACUCACAGACAGCACGCUGCCAAGCGGUUACUCUGCCAAGUGCUACACCUGUAUUAAUGCAUUGAAUCCUCCUGUUAUCCAGGUGAGGAAAUGGAGGCAUGCAUCACUUAGUUUUGCUGGAGGAAGUGAUACCUGGGGUUCUGAACGGCUGAACCCAAAACAGGAGCAAUUAAGAGCUAAGAGCAAGGUGGUCUCAUUUUUGCAGGUCAGGAGCCAGCUGGAAGGAGAGAUUGGAGGGCCGGGUGGAAAACCGACCUAACUGACCAGUUUCCGGAAUUUGGAUCUUAAACUGUAUUUGUUCCCACCCCACUCCCAAAUUCUACCAAGCGGGUGCCCCAAAGCAGGAGGAAGUAAACAGUCUUAUAGUACAAACUGCGUGGGGCAAAACAACUGACCACAACAAGCUCCACAUCUUGCUGACUGCCAAUAUUUUAUCCGUAAAAUGCAUGCAGUUUAGGCCCUGUGGUGUUGGAUCUUCUGGGCACUUCUGCACCCCAAAGUGGAUGUUUCACAACUGUUGACUCCGGUUACCUGCACUGCACCUGGAAAUCCAUCCUCUCCCUGCCUCCUGUCAAACCUGGUGCGUCCCCGAGCUCUCAGCCUACCCAGACCUGCCUACUCCUCUGAUCCUCAGUGACCUAGGCUCCAUUAUCUUAAAACUGACUUGAAGAUACCUGUGGGACCCUGAACAUCUGAUCGCUGCUGAGACUCGACUGCAAGAAGCUGUGGUUGGAUCUGUUGUAGUCUCCAAGUUUGAACAUGGACAACUCACAGAAAACUUAACAUUUCUUAUUAUCAGUUUUCAAAUAUGAUUAGUUCCUUAAGAAUUAAAUAUGGAAGUAGCAUAUGAUCCAGUUACCCUACUCCUGAGUAUAUACCCCCCAGAAAAUGAAUGCAGGAACUCAAGCAGGUACUUGUACACCCAUAUUCAUAACGUCAUAUUCACAGCAGUCAGAAUGUAGGGACCACCCAGUCCUAUCCAUCAAGAUAGAUAAACAUAACAUCCUGUGUACGUACAAUGGGCUAUUAUUUAAAAAAGAAAUUAAAUUCUGGCACACGUUGCAGCAUGGAUAAACCUUGAAAACAUGCUAAGUGAAGUAAGCCUGAGCCAAAGGUAGUAUUUUAGUAUGACUCUACCUUUAAAAACAUCUUCAAUAAGCAAAUCGGUGGAAAGUAAGAACAGGCGUUACUAGAGGCUGGGGGAGAAAAAUGGAAUUAGUAAUUAAUGUAAAUAGAGUUUCAGUGAACAUGAAUGAUGGUAAUGGUUGCACACUUUGGUGAAUAUACUUAGUGAUCUCGAAAGGUAUACUUGAGAUGGUUAAAAAGGUAAAUUUUAUAAAUAUUUUUUACCAUUGGAAAAUACACUUAGGGCUGGUGAUAUAGUCUUGGGGGUGUUUGACUCCCAGUACUGAAAAAAAGGAGGGG